AAAGAUUUAACAUUGAUAACGUAGGAGUACUGCAAUUCAAUAACAUAAAACAAAAUU
rnacentral:sRNA from 1 species